GUCUACGGCCAUGCUACCCUGAACAAGCCCAAUCCUGUCUGAUCUCGGAAGCUAAGCAGCGUCGGGCCUGGUUAGUACUUGGAUGGGAGACCACCUAGGAAGACCAGGCGCUGUAGGCG
rnacentral:rRNA from 1 species